rnacentral:rRNA from 1 species
GUGGGGAAUCUUAGACAAUGGGGGAAACCCUGAUCUAGCCAUGCCGCGUGAGCGAUGAAGGCCUUAGGGUUGUAAAGCUCUUUCAGCUGGGAAGAUAAUGACGGUACCAGCAGAAGAAGCCCCGGCUAACUCCGUGCCAGCAGCCGCGGUAAUACGGAGGGGGCUAGCGUUGUUCGGAAUUACUGGGCGUAAAGCGCGCGUAGGCGGACCAGAAAGUUGGAGGUGAAAUCCCAGGGCUCAACCUUGGAACUGCCUUCAAAACUCCUGGUCUGGAGUUCGAGAGAGGUGAGUGGAAUGCCGAGUGUAGAGGUGAAAUUCGUAGAUAUUCGGAGGAACACCAGUGGCGAAGGCGGCUCACUGGCUCGAUACUGACGCUGAGGUGCGAAAGCGUGGGGAGCAAACAGGAUUAGAAACCCCUGUAGUCC